rnacentral:rRNA from 1 species
GUGGGGAAUCUUGCGCAAUGGGCGAAAGCCUGACACAGCCAUGCCGCGUGAAUGAUGAAGGUCUUAGGAUUGUAAAAUUCUUUCACCGGGGACGAUAAUGACGGUACCCGGAGAAGAAGCCCCGGCUAACUUCGUGCCAGCAGCCGCGGUAAUACGAAGGGGGCUAGCGUUGCUCGGAAUUACUGGGCGUAAAGGGCGCGUAGGCGGACAGUUUAGUCAGAGGUGAAAGCCCAGGGCUCAACCUUGGAAUUGCCUUUGAUACUGGCUGUCUUGAGUACGGGAGAGGUGAGUGGAACUCCGAGUGUAGAGGUGAAAUUCGUAGAUAUUCGGAAGAACACCAGUGGCGAAGGCGACUCACUGGCCCGUUACUGACGCUGAGGCGCGAAAGCGUGGGGAGCAAACAGGAUUAGAUACCCUGGUAGUCC